rnacentral:rRNA from 1 species
UACGAAGGGGGCUAGCGUUGUUCGGAAUUACUGGGCGUAAAGGGCGCGCAGGCGGCCCUCCAAGUCCGGCGUGAAAGCCCCGGGCUCAACCCGGGAAUAGCGCUUGAGACUGGGGGGCUUGAGUUCGGGAGAGGAGAGUGGAAUUCCCAGUGUAGAGGUGAAAUUCGUAGAUAUUGGGAAGAACACCGGUGGCGAAGGCGGCUCUCUGGACCGACACUGACGCUGAGGCGCGAAAGCGUGGGGAGCAAACAGG